rnacentral:rRNA from 1 species
AGUGAACGCUGGCGGUAGGCCUAACACAUGCAAGUCGAACGGACGCACAGUAAGCGCUCGCUCUUACGGGUGGCGAGUGGCGGACGAGUGAGAAAUACAUCGCAUUCUACUAUGUCGUGGGUGAGAAUGUGGGGAAACAUACACUACUACCGCAUACGACGUACGGGUGAGAUCAGCGGAGCUUCGGACCUUGCCCGAUUGUAUGAGCCGCUGUCGGAUUAGCUAGUUGGCGGGGUAAAGGCCCACCAAGGCGACGAUCCGUAGCUGGUCUGAGAGGAUGAUCAGCCACACUGGAACUGAGACACGGUCCAGACUCCUACGGGAGGCGGCAGUGGGGAAUAUUGGACAAUGGGCGCAAGCCUGAUCCAGCCAUACCGCGUGGGUGAAGAAGGCCUUCGGGUUGUAAAGCCCUUUUGUUGGGAAAGAAAAGCAGUAGGUUAAUACCCCGCUGUUCUGACGGUACCCAAAGAAUAAGCACCGGCUAACUUCGUG